rnacentral:lncRNA from 8 species
CAGUAUGUACUGGUAUGUUGUUAGCUAGCUACCUAACGUUAGUUGUGUCAUGUCCUGACCAGUAAAGGGGUCAUUUGUAAUUGUAGUAUGGUCAGGGCGUGGCAGGGUGUUCUCUCUUAAUAAAAAGAAGGAAGAUGAGCACUAUACCCGCUGCGCCUUGGUCUGUCCCUUACGACGCUUAUGACAGAACCACCCACCAAAGAAGGACCAAGCAGCGGAGGAAGGAGCAGCAGGAGAAGUAUUUGGAGUCAGGGACGUGGGAGGAGAUCCUCGAUGGCAAGGGUCCAUGGAGCCAGGCUGGGGAGUACCAGCGCCCAAAGGCGGAGCUGGAGGAAGCGAAGAGGGAACGAUGGAGGUACGAGGCGUUGUAUCCUCCUAUUCAGGAGGUGGAGAGGCAGCCCCAAAACAUUUUUUGGGGGGGGCAUAAGUGGAGUGUUGCUAGGUCAGGGGGGAACCCUGACCUAACUUCCCGGGCUAUUCGGAGGGAGCCGUCGAGCAAACCGGAGCCGAGAAAGGAGUCGAGCGCUGAGCUUGACGCAAGAUUCCGGAAGGAGGUACUGGCAGAGAGGGCACGACUGAGCAGGCGUGCAGAGGGGCGAGCGAUGCAUUACGGGGUGAUGCGCACUCUCUCGCCCAUCCGCACGCACAGUCCGGUGCGGUCGGUAUGGGCUCCGCAGCGUUGCCGUGCUAGAGUUGGCACUCAGCCAGGAAGGAGUGUUUCUGCUCAGCGCAUCUGGCCGCCAGUGCGUCUCCUCGGUCCAGCUUACCCUGCGCCUGCUCUACGCACGGCAGCCAUCAUUCCCCAGCACAGCCCAGCUCGCCCUGUGCCAGCGCUCCGCUCGUGCCGGGCUACAGGGACCAUCCAGCCAGGAUGGCCAGCCCUGAGCUCCAGACCUCCGGUGCGCCUCCACGGCCCAGUGUGCCUCGUGCCUGCUCUGCGCACCCAGUCUCCUGUAAGUCUUCCCAGUCCGGGGAGACCGGUCCCAGCUCCACGCAGUAGGGCUCCAGCGACGCUCCUCAGCCCGGAGCCUCCAGCAACGCUCCUCAGUCCGGAGCCUCCAGCGAUGCUCCCCAGUCAGGAGCCUCCAGCGACGCCCCUCAGCCAGGAGCCUCCAGCGACGCUCCCCAGCCCGGAGCCUCCAGCGACGCUCCCCAGCCCGGAGCCUCCAGCGACGCUCCUCAGCCCGGAGCCUCCAGCGACGCUCCCCAGCCGGAGCCUCCAUUGACGCUCCCCAGCCCGGAGCCUCCAGCGACGCUCCUCAGCACGGAUCCUCCAGCGACGCUCCCCAGUCAGGGGCCUCCAGCGACGCCUCUCAGCCCGGGGCCUCCAGCGACGCCUCUCAGCCCGGGGCCUCCAGCGACGCCUCUCAGCCCGGGGCCUCCAGCGAAGCUCCCCAGUCAGGAGCCUCCAGCGACGCCCCUCAGCCAGGAGCCUCCAGCGACGCUCCCCAGCCCGGAGCCUCCAGCGACGCUCCCCAGCCCGGAGCCUCCAGCGACGCCUCUCAGCCCGGGGCCUCCAGCGACACCUCUCAGCCCGGGGCCUCCAGCGACACCUCUCAGCCCGGGGCCUCCAGCGAC